UAGCAUAUCAAUAAGCGGAGGAAAAGAAACCAACAGGGAUUGCCUCAGUAACGGCGAGUGAAGCGGCAAAAGCUCAAAUUUGAAAUCUGGCCCCGUCAGGGGUCCGAGUUGUAAUUUGGAGAGGAUACUUCGGGUGUGGCCGUGGCUUAAGUCCCUUGGAACAGGGCGUCAUGGAGGGUGAGAAUCCCGUCUUGAGUCACCGGUCCACGCCCAUGCGAAGUUCCUUCGACGAGUCGAGUUGUUUGGGAAUGCAGCUCUAAGUGGGUGGUAAAUUUCAUCUAAAGCUAAAUAUUGGCUGGAGACCGAUAGCGCACAAGUAGAGUGAUCGAAAGGUUAAAAGCACCUUGAAAAGGGAGUUAAAUAGCACGUGAAAUUGUUGAAAGGGAAGCGCUUGCAACCAGACUCGAGCGCAGGGUUCAGCGGGCAUGCGUGCCCGUGUACUCCCUGUGCUCGGGCCAGCAUCAGUUUCGGCGGUUGGUUAAAGGCCUCUGGAAUGUAUCGUCCUCCGGGACGUCUUAUAGCCAGAGGCGCAAUGCGGCCAGCCGGGACUGAGGAACGCGCUUCGGCACGGAUGCUGGCAUAAUGGUUGUAAGCGGCCCGUCUUGAAACACGGACCAAGGAGUCUAACAUCCACGCGAGUGUUCGGGUGUCAAACCCGUGCGCGCAGUGAAAGCGAACGGAGGUGGGAGCCCAUCAGGGUGCACCAUCGACCGAUCCUGAAGUCUUCGGAUGGAUUUGAGUAAGAGCGUGGCUGUUGGGACCCGAAAGAUGGUGAACUAUGCCUGAAUAGGGUGAAGCCAGAGGAAAACUCUGGUGGAGGCUCGCAGCGGUUCUGACGUGCAAAUCGAUCGUCAAAUUUGGGUAUAGGGGCGAAAGACUAAUCGAACCAUCUGGUAGCUGGUUCCUGCCGA
rnacentral:rRNA from 1 species